AUUGAAUAAAAAUAUUUAGGUUCUUUGUAUUGGCAAAGAUUAAAAGGGAAUCAGGUGAAAAUCCUGAACGGACCGGCCACUGUAAAUGGAGAGUGAUUUUUCAAUAUGCCACUGAGAGUAUUCUUGGGAAGGUGAAAGAGAGCUAUGAACCAUAAGUCAGGAGAACUGCCUAAAUAAAUUAUCUUCA
rnacentral:ncRNA from 2 species